GACGAACGCUGGCGGCGUGCUUAACACAUGCAAGUCGAACGGACAGGCCCUGCUUUUGUGGGGUGCUCGAGUGGCGCACGGGUGAGUAACACGUGAGUAACCUGCCCUUGACUUUGGGGUAACUUCAGGAAACUGGGGCUCAUACCGCAUAGGAGCUCCUGCUGCAUGGUGGUGGUUGGAUAGUUUCGGCGGUUGGGGAUGUACUCGCGGCUUAUCAGCUUGUUGGUGGGGUAGUGGCUUACCAAGGCUUUGACGGGUAGCCUGCCUGAGAGGGUGACCGGCGACAUUGGGCCUGAGAGACGGCCCAGACUGCUACGGGAGGCAGCAGUGGGGAAGCUUGCACAAUGGGCGGAGGCCUGAUGCAGCAACGCCGCGUGCGGGAUAACGGCCUUCGGGGGGUAAACCGCUUGCGCAUGUGACGAAGCGUGAGUGACGGUAAUGGAUAAAGAAGCACCGGCUAACUACGUG
rnacentral:rRNA from 1 species